UCCGAUAUGGUCUAGUGGCUAGGAUUUGCCGCUCUCAUAGAGAGUCAGUUCACGACAGUGCCGGCAAGGCCCGGGUUCGAUUCCCGGUGUCGGAA